UACAAGGUUUUCUUUAAAACCAUACAUUUUACCCAUUUACAAGUUGU
rfam:Caprimulgus carolinensis contig47921, whole genome shotgun sequence.